AUUGAACGCUGGCGGCAUGCUUUACACAUGCAAGUCGAACGGUAACAGGGAGCUUGCUCCGCUGACGAGUGGCGAACGGGUGAGUAAUAUAUCGGAACGUACCCAAGAGUGGGGGAUAACGUAGCGAAAGUUACGCUAAUACCGCAUACGAUCCAAGGAUGAAAGUGGGGGACCGCAAGGCCUCAUGCUCCUGGAGCGGCCGAUAUCUGAUUAGCUAGUUGGUGAGGUAAAGGCUCACCAAGGCAACGAUCAGUAGCUGGUCUGAGAGGACGACCAGCCACACUGGGACUGAGACACGGCCCAGACUCCUACGGGAGGUAGCAGUGGGGAAUUUUGGACAAUGGGGGCAACCCUGAUCCAGCAAUGCCGCGUGAGUGAAGAAGGCCUUCGGGUUGUAAAGCUCUUUUGUCAGGGAAGAAACGGGAGUGGCUAAUAUCCAUUUCUAAUGACGGUACCUGAAGAAUAAGCACCGGCUAACUACGUGCCAGCAGCCGCCCGUAAAAC
rnacentral:rRNA from 1 species